GACGUAGGAUGCAAGCGUUGUCCGGAUUUAUUGGGCGUAAAGAGUUCGUAGGUGGUUUGUUAAGUCUGAUGUUAAAGACUGGGGCUCAACCUCGGGACUGCAUUGGAUACUGGCAGACUUGAGUGCGGUAGAGGCAAGUGGAAUUCCAGGUGUAGCGGUGAAAUGCGUAGAUAUCUGGAGGAACACCGAUGGCGAAGGCAGCUGCCUGGCCCAGAACUGACGCUGAGGUGCGAAAGCGUGGGGAGCGAACGGGGAUUAAGAUGACC
rnacentral:rRNA from 1 species